rnacentral:rRNA from 1 species
GUCCUUUUGAAUUUAUUUAAGGUCUAACCUGCCCACUGAUAUUAAAUGGCCGCAGUACUCUAACUGUGCAAAGGUAGCAUAAUAAUUAGUCUUUUAAUUGAAGGCUGGAAUGAAUGGUUGGACGAGAUAUAAUCUGUUUCAUUUAAAUUUAUCAUAGAAUUUUAUUUUUCAGUCAAAAAGCUGAAAUUAGUUUAAAAGACGAGAAGACCCUAUAAAUCUUUACAUUAAAUUUAAAUUUCAAAAAAAGAAUUUUAUAAAAAAUUUAAAAUAAAUGUUUUAUUGGGGUGAUAUUAAAAUUUAUUGAACUUUUAAGUUUAUAAACAUUAAUUUAUGAAUAAAUGAUCCGUAGAAACGAUUAAUAAACUAAGUUACUUUAGGGAUAACAGCGUAAUUUUUUUGGAGAGUUCAUAUCGAUAAAAAAGAUUGCGACCUCGAUGUUGGAUUAAGGAAUUUGAUUAGGUGUAGCCGCUUAAUUUAUAAGUCUGUUCGACUUUUUAAACCUU